GUGGGGAAUAUUGGGCAAUGGGGGCAACCCUGACCCAGCGACGCCGCGUGGGUGAAGAAAUCCCUCGGGAUGUAAAGCCCUGUUGUAUGGGAAGAGCAGAAGACGGUACCAUACGAGGAAGCCCCGGCAAACUACGUGCCAGCAGCCGCGGUAAUACGUAGGGGGCAAGCGUUGUCCGGAAUUACUGGGCGUAAAGCGCACGCAGGCUGAAUUAUAAGUCGGUAGUCAAAUACGGAGGCUCAACUUCCGGAUAUCUAUCGAUACUGUAAAUCUAGAGUAUGUGAGAGGGAAGCGAAAUUCACGGUGUAGCGGUGAAAUGCGUAGAUAUCGGGAGGAACACCAGUGGCGAAGGCGGCUUCCUGGCACAAUACUGACGCUCAUGUGCGAAAGCUAGGGCAGCGAACGGGAUUAGAAACCCUGGUAGUCC
rnacentral:rRNA from 1 species